rnacentral:lncRNA from 1 species
GUGAACACGGAAAAUUCCUGAAACGAAAGAGACAAGAAACGACGCGCACAAACAAAUAUUAAGUAUUUGAUGAUUUUGGGUUACAAUCUCUCUCAAAUUUGAUCCUCUGAUUCGAUCUCCGUAAGGUGUUGAUUGGUGGGUGUUUCGUUGAUCCAAGGGCCGUCGAGGCUUAAUCUUGGAUGAACAGUUGGAAGUUUCUUCAAAGGGCCGUGGGCUUGAUCUUUGAAGGUGGAUUUGAGCGGAUCUUCAAGGGCUUUUGGGCUUGAUCUUUGAAGAACAGUGAUGAACGGAUCUCCAAGGGCUUUUGGGCUUGAUCUUGAAGAACAGUGAUGAACGGAUCUUCAAGGGCUUUUGGGCUUGAUCUUGAAGAACGGUUGGAUGUGUGGAUUUUGUCGACGUUGUUGAUCCAAAGGGCCGUUGGGGCUUGAUCUUGGAUGAACGGAUGAUGAACGAUGGUGCUUUCUUCAAGGGCCGUCGGGCUUGAUCUUGAAUUGGUGGAUGAUUGUUGAUCCAAAGGGCCGUUGGGGCUUGAUCUUGGAAGAACGAUGAACGAAGAACGAAGAACGCUUUCUUCAAGGGCCGUCGGGGCUUGAUCUUGAAGGUGGAUGAUUGUUGAUCCAAGGGCCGUCGAGGCUUGAUCUUGGAAAACGAUGAACGAAGAACGAAGAACGCUUUCUUCAAGGGCCGUCGGGGCUUGAUCUUGAAGGUGGAUGAUUGUUGAUCCAAGGGCCGUCGAGGCUUGAUCUUGGAAGAACGAUGAACGAAGAACGAAGAACACUUUCUUGAUUCUUCGGGAACCUGGAUGCUUGAGAGCUUCGGAGUUUCAGAGCUUCAGAGCUUCAGAGCUUCAAGGUGUAAUAUCAAUUGGUUCCCAAAUGAAUGAAAUUGGGCUUGUAUUUAUAGAAUUUUCCAAGGCCUAAUUUUGAAUAUAAUAUUCCAGAUGAAAUAAGUCGUUUCUGCCAGGUAUUGACACGUGUCCUAUUUGAUGACUUUUCCAACUCAUUUCAAUUUUCGUUGAGUCACAUGCUACAUGUAAAAUUUAUGUAAUACAUGAGCGUUGACACUUUGAUUUAUCGGUCAACAUUUAUUUACCGAAAUUUCGAUGUCUACAAAUGCCCCCACUUCAAGGCACGUCGUAUACAUGUGCUUGUCACGUGUAGGAGAUGCGUUUUGAAGUCCCUUACUGUAGAUGUCGAUCCAAGGGCCGUCGAGGCUUGAUCUUGAAUUGGGCUGGAGAUUUCUUCAAGGGCCGUUGAGGCUUGAUCUUGAAUUGGGCUUGAGAUUUUUUCAAGGGCCGUUGAGGCUUGUUCUUGAACUUUUGUUUGAAAUUUCUUCAAGGGCCGUCGAGACUUGAUCUUGAAGGUUGAAAUUGGACCACAAGGAGCUUCAUGUGGUAGAUGAUUUUUUGCUUUGGUAGUGGACGAAUCGGCACGUAUUUUGUUGCGCUUGUUGACCUUCCACAGCUUUGAUCUUGAACUGGGUUGGAGGUUUUUUUUCUAGAUUCCUCCAAUUGUUGAUAUUUCCACAGCUUAUUCUGGAACUAGGUUUUGAUUCAAGGUGGUAGACACUUAGUCUUGAAUCGGACUUGUGAUUUCCUCAAGGGCCGUCGAGGCUUGAUCUUGAAUUUGGCUGGAAACUUCUUCAAGGGCCGUUGAGGCUUGAUUCUUGAAGGUUGACUCGAACACAUGGCAAGCAGGCACGAGGUAAAGGUGACAACCUGUUUCUUUGUUCAAUCUUUCUAAUUCACACCUGAGCAGUUUGGUCAACGGUAUGAUCUUCAAGAUUGAUGGGCUUUUCUUCCAGUCGGUGACUUGAUCUUUAAGGAUUCGAUUCAAGGGUGGUGAAUCGACACGUGCAGCUCACAACGCCUAGUAAGUCGACCCAAGAAUUUGAGGGUCAAAACGAGUCCUUCACACAGAGUGAUUGCAACUUUGAUGAUAUGAGAUACUUUUGAUUUUGAAGAAGUAGCGGAUGAAUCGGCACGUGCUUUGUGCUUGUCUCCACAUGCUUCAAUGUAUCAUUUCCCUUGCUAUUCUUAUCUAUUUUCUUUGAAUGCUUCUGCUGCAGAAUGUGGCAUUCUCAGUUCAGACUCCUUCUGCUGAGUUGAUUGUGCAUGCCGCAUUUCCUUAUUUGUUCUCCAGGCAGAUGUGGCAUCUUCUCGAGUUCUUCAGCUCGGACUCCUUCUGCUGAGUUGACUGUGCAGGCCGCAUUCUUCUCUGCUUGUUUCUUCAGCACGUUGUCUCCACAUGCUGCAAGGUAUCAUUUUCACUUGCCUUAUCUGUUCUCCAGGCAGAUGUGACAGCUUCUAUGGAAGUACAGCAGCAGUGGGAGACGAGUACUCGAGAGCAGUGCUAGGCAGGCAAUCAGGGAAGGGUUCCAAGCAGUCGGUUCCUUACCCGAGUUUGAGUGGAAGUUCCGGCAUAUUGUUUUCUUUAUCCUUGUCUUUGUAGGUAGGAGCAAGGACAAAGGAAACGACAGGGAGAACGCAUGAUAUGAGAUACUCUUGCUUUCUACCCUGGUGAUAUGAGAUACUUUUUGCUUUGAAGUUAUUGGCUUACAGAGGUACCCCAAGGAAUAAGGAACACUAAGUGACUCGAGAGGCUUCGUUGGGAAGGCAUUCUCGGAGAUGAAGAAAGGUUCUGUAUGUCUGCCUCGCUAUGGAAGGUGAAGGUGGACAGUUAUAGGAGGUCCCUUAAUACCUGUAGAGGUACUAUUCUUUCACUUGUGUCGGCAACUAACGCGUGAUUGAACAGUAAACUUUCACGUGCUUUCUCCUUCACCGAAAAUCUUCGACAAAUUGCCCGUGAUUUGCGCAAAGUUGAGUGUGCAUAUGACAGGUGAUGAUGCGGCUGAAAAAGACUAGCGCCUCUUCGAUAUCUGGGAUCGGCGCUUCGACAAAUUACCCGUGAUUUCCGCAAAGCUGAGUUUGCGUGUGACAGGUGCCGACGUGUCUGGAAAAGCAAGAUGCUUCUCCGAUUUCUGAGCUUGCCUCUUCGAUUUUUGAAUGGCCUCUUCGAAUUCAGAGCUCGCCUCUUCGAUCUCUGAAAUCCCGUCGAGUGCUGAUUUUUUUUAUAGAGGCAGGCAGUUCAUUUCUUCAAAGCACACUUGAAUUUUUGCUUGUACCUUCUUGCACUUCUAAGAUCUCGAUUUGUCCGACCUCUUCUUUCUUUAACACCUUUGAAAAUGUCUGGCCCAUCCGAUCGUCGUUUUGACUUGAAUCUUGGUGAAGAGGCAGUCCCUUCUUCUCCAGACAACAUAUGGCGCCCAUCCUUCAUAUCCCCCACUGGUCCUCUUACCGUUGGGGAUUCAGUGGUGAAGAAUAAUAUGACUGCUGCGGUGGUGGCCCGGAACCUUGUCACUCCCAGAGAUAACAGACUACUUUCCAAACGGUCUGAUGAGUUGGCUGUUAAGGAUUCUCUGGCUCUCAGUGUGCAGUGUGCAGGUUCUGUGUCUAAUAUGGCCCAACGCCUAUUUGCUCGAACCCACCUGUCAAGUUGAAUCAUUGGCGGCGGAAGUGAUGAGUCUCAAACAGGAGAUUAGAGGGCUUAAGCAGGAGAAUAAACAGUUGCAUAAGCUCGCACAUAGCUAUGCGACAAACAUGAAGAGGAAGAUUAACCAGAUGCAGGAAUCUGAUGGUCAAAUUUUACUUGAUCAUCAGAGGUUUGUGGGUUUGUUCCAGCAGCAUUUGCCUUCGUCUUCUGGGGCUGUCCCGCGUAAUGAAGCUCCAGAUGAUCAACCUCCGGCUCCUCUUCUUCCUGGAGUUUCGCCGAGUGAUAAGGCGCCACCUGAUCAUCCUUGAAGAUCCCCUCCUGUAAAUUUGAUUUGACUUUUUUUUUUUUUUUUUUUUUUUGUACUGAUGUAAAAUGUACAUUUUUUUGUAAAUUUUCAAAGAAAUCAAUAGAUGAGCCUUAUUUCAUUCUUUGUGUGUGUAUAUAUAUAUAUAUUUAUUUAUUUAGUGCCAAAAGCAUAAAGAAACUUUUUUCUUUUUUUUUUUUUUUUUUUUUUUUUUUUUUUUUUUUUUUUUUGCAGAUGGUGCGUAAUGCACCGUCUUUUUAUUAUAUAUGUAUAUAUAUAUUUUUAAUCAUUGUGCACCCAUUUUUUAUUUAUUUUUUUAUUUUUUUAUGGUUGCAGAGCACCAAACAUCAAACAUUUUUUUUCUUUAAUCAUGGUGCCAGACGCACCAAAGAUAAAACCCUUUUUUUUUUUCGGUGGUACUCACACAUACCAAAUCAAAAUUUUUUUUUUUAUUAUAUUUUCUUCUUUGCUUUCGGUGGUGCUCACACUCACCACCACUCAUACCACACCACCAUCCUUCAAUCAAUGAUUCCUGUCAUCAUUUAAAAAAAAAAAAAAAUUAUUAUUAUAUAUAUAUUUUUUUGCUUUCUGUGGUGACACUCACCACCACUCAUACCGCACCAUUUUUUUUUUUUUUUUAUAAUUAUUAUUAUUAAUUUUUUUUAAUUAUUAUAUAUACAUACAUAUACAUAUACAUAUAUAUAUAUAUAUGUAUGUUCGCUGCAUGGGAUGAAGGGCGGCCAUCUGCCGCGGGGGUGGAAGCUUACAAAGAGCAGGCGAGGAUGACGGAUGAAGCAUGCACAGAAGCUGGAGCAGCGGGGGCUCUCUUCAAAGCAGUUCUCGCGACCCGCAAGGUCUUUUCCGGGUCGGAUGGUCUCAGCCCCAGGAUUUGGACCAAAGGGUGUUCCUCGCGAUUUGGAAUGAGAUCGCAGCGAUCGGGAGGAGUGACAGUGAGUGAGGAGGGAGAGGGUCGAUGGGCAGGAGAGGAUGCAAGUCCCACGGUACAGUAGCGAGGCAAAAGAAGGACUUCGAACCCAAGACCCUCGAACUGAGCGGAGGCAAGGUAGGGACGACCUCGAUGGUGGAGGAGAUGGUGACUUGGGCUGAGCGUGUUCAUGGGGAAGAACGUGGAUGAUGAGCAAGACCCGAGCUUCAACAACCAUUGAGCUUUAACGGCUUCAACCCUCGAAGUUCAAGAACGGCGCUACCAUCCACGUCACCUAUGUCAUGUCGAACUGGAUGUCGCAGAGACGGCGGAGAGAAGGCAGAGAGGAUCCUCGUUCCAUUUUGACAAUGGUGUGGAUUGGUGUGCCCAGCUGCAUCGCCUGGUGGAUCGCGGUCGGAGUUGGCGAGAGGUUGGAGUGCCAGAGAUUUACCGCAUCCUGUCCACGUACUCCUGCAACGGCAUGGCUGCUGCUUCUUCAAUGGAGGAGUUUCUCAACGGCGGAGAGCGGGGAAGAUGAUCCAAAGGGCAGGAGAAUGAUGAGAUGGGCAUGGGGUUACUGACAGAUCCGAACCCGCCAGAAAACCAGAUUUGAAAACGCGACGUGCACUGCCGGAGAGGCUGACACGUUGGCUGUCGUAGCUGCAGCGAUGGCGGCGGUGCCAUGUAGUUUGGAUGGAGAACAUGACGAUGGAGAAGAGGAUGACUGUGGAGAUGGCACGACGUGGCGUAGUGGAUGAUGUGUUGGCGGAGGAAGAUGCAGCGGUGGCUUAGCGCUUCUGGAUUUGCUUCUGCUCGAUCUCGGAGCGCUUUGAAGAAUCGCUUGCUGCUGGUGUCUUCUUUGAGCCUCUGCCGAACUCCUUUGUUAGGAAUUAGUUGUUCUUCAUUGCAAUCUUCCAGAUCAGUUGUCCCGGAACGGUAGCCAUCGCACUUAGAUUCUGUCUUGUAGUUGCAGAGAGACUGAGUGAGAGAGGAGGCAAGGCUUGGAGUCGUACUGGGUCUCUGACGGUGGUUCUGACGGCGUAGAAAUCAAGCCCGCCGGAGCCGUCGAGUGUGAAUUCAGCGAGAGUGGCGGGCGGGGUGGCUCCGUUGCCUGAGCACUCCAAUUUUCCUGAGCUGCAGUCGGCUGUGAGGCAGGAGAAUUUUCCGACAGAGUCGUGGGAGCAGAAGGUUCGGCCCCAGAAGCGGUUGCCGGAAUCGGGUUGCGUCGGCGGAGAAGUCAAGUUCGAAGCUGUGGUCGUUAACUAGCAGAGGCUGCAUGUUCCUGCUCUGCACCAGAACGACGCCGUCCGCGCCGCAGCUGUUCUGCUCCUGAGCUUCUUCAAGUUUCGGAUCCAAAGCCCGUAGUCCAGAUCCAGAUACGGAUCCAUUUCCUGGAACAAGCACUGCCCCGAGUUCAGAUCUGGAUUUUCCACCGCCUUGGGGUUCGGGAGCAGCCACGAGGCCGCGUGGAUCUUGGAGUUGCAGUUGACGCAGAGGAAGGCGGAGUCGGUGCGGCAGUACAGAGUCGCCGUCGCCGAUUGGCAAGAGUCGCAGAGCUUUGAUGCCAUGACCGAAAUCUGCUGAGGUGGUAUUGCAGCUAUUGACGAUGAUCAGGAGAGAUCGACGGUGACUUUAAUGUCGGAUCCUGACAGGGAGGAAGAUGGCAAGGUCUUUUGGGCUUCUUGCCGGGUUUGGUCUUGGCAUCUGGGCCUGUGAAAUAAAAGGAGGCCCGGGCUCUUACUCCCUUUCUAUUGGUGGAGACGAGGCUUAGGGCCGAGUGAGGAUGAGAGCUGAGCUCGCUAGGGAGAAAGAGCUGCGAGAGACUUGGGCUUUGACAGCCGAGCCUGGGUUGAUCUGGUUUUGGACACGGGCUGCUUCUGAGGCCCUUUAUAUAUAUAUAUAUAUAUAUAUAUAUAUAUAUAUAUAUUAAUACAUAAAACAUAUGUUUUUUUUUCUUCUUUUUUUUUUGUAAAUACAUAAAACAUGUAUCUCUUUUUUUUUUUUUUUUAAUUAUUUUUUUUACAUAAUAACAUACGUUUCUUUUUUUUUAAAUACAUAAUAACAUAUGUAUUCAUUUUUUUUUUAAAUAAAAUUGACUCUAUUUAAUAAAGCAUUUAUUUUUUAUUUUGAUGUGACUGAACUUGUAAUUGAAUAUUCAAGCUACCUACGUACCCUUCCAAAGAAAGAGAUCAAGUCAAAACGUAGUUCAAAUACAUACAUAUAUAUAUUUUUUUUUUGGUAUUUUUCUUUUUUUUUUGUGCCGUUUGCAGUUUCAGCUCGUGCAGACAAGGAGCUUUGGGUUGUCGCCUUUUAGGCUCGUGCAGACCAGGAGCUUUGGUGUUGCCUUUUAUGCUCGUGCAGACCAGGAGCUUUGGUUCGUGCAGUUUUAGGCUCGUGCGAACAAAGAGCAUUUGGUGCCGUGUUGCAGUUUCAGCUCGUGCAGGCAAGGAGCAUUUGGUGCCGUGUUGUAGUUUCAGCUCGUGCAGACAAGGAGCUUUGGGUUGUCGCCUUUUAGGCUCGUGCAGACCAGGAGCGUUGGUGUUGCCUUUUAUGCUCGUGCAGACCAGGAGCUUUGGUGUUGCCUUUUAUGCUCGUGCAGACCAGGAGCUUUGGUUCGUGCGUGCAGUUUUAGGCUCGUGCGAACAAGGAGCAUUGGUUGGUUCGUCAAGCGAUCUGAGAAAGUCGUUCCUCGCAAUCUUCAUAGCAAGGAGCUUUGACCGUGUGUUUGAAGAAGUUUUCGGGCGGGCAAGAAGUCGCGCAUCGUGAUGGGGAUGGACAGUCUAUGUGUGUCGAAAUUUCAUCAUCUUCAACACGUUCACGUUGCUUUGAAGGUUGACAAGAGCUGCUUUGCCCCCUUUCCGAUUGGCGGACUUGUGGAGGAGACAUAUGUUUCUUGUGCAAUUUCUUAGGAGUGACUUGAGUCCAUCCUUCUACUUUGCUUGUCUUGGAGGAUGCCCCCAACGGUUGAGGUGAAACCUUUGAGUCGGAAGAGCCAGAAGUGAAGGUGGUACAGUUUGACUCCCCCACAUCGUCAAGAUCUAGCUCGAUGAUUCCUUUCUGAGCCAGCUUCAUGAUGAGAUCUUUCAGCACGAAACACUUUUCUGUCGGAUGACUGAUGAAGCGGUGGAAUUUACAGUAUCUUGGACUGUCAGUACGAUUCAUCUCUUCCGGCCGUCUGCACUCAGGCAAACUGAUCACCUUCUUGUCCAAUAGGUCAUCUAGCAUGGCAACCACAUCAGAGUCGGGGAAUGGAUAAGUCUUCUCCUCAAGCUCCUUCAAAGUGCGUCUACGCGUCUCUUGAUCACGAAAAGCUUCGGUUUGAAUCGCCUUGCCUCGUGUGGAUAUUUUGACGGGAGAUGUGUUGACCGUCAUCGCUUCCUUGGUGGGUUUCCAUGCAGCCUUUUCCACCUUUGUCCCAAGAGCUUUGUCGUUCUUGUAGUCGGCGAUCGGUUCUUUCUUCCCAUGAUGGGCGAUGCUCAACUCCAUGUCAUGGGCGCGAGAGUGGCCAAUUCCUCGAAGGUCCGCGGUUUAAUGCCUUGAAGGAUGUAUUGCAAACCCCAUUGCAUGCCUUGGAUGCACAUCUCGAUUGAAGAGGUUUCCGAGAGCCUGUCUUUGCAGUCGAGGCUUAAAGUGCGCCAUCUGUUGAUGUAGUCAAUGACUGGUUCGUCCUUCCACUGCUUUGUGCUUGUUAGCUCUAGCAUGCUCACAGUGCGGCGAGUGCUGUAGAAGCGGUUGAGGAAUUCCCGCUCCAAUUGCUCCCAACUGUUGAUGGACUCAGGCUCUAGGUCCGUGUACCAUUCAAAGGCGUUUCCUUUUAGCGAGCGCACAAACUGCUUGGCGAGGUAGUCCCCUUCGGUUCCUGCGUUGUUGCAAGUUUCAACGAAGUAGGCAAUGUGCUGUUUUGGGUUUCCCUUUCCAUCAAAUUGCAUGAACUUUGGUGGUUGAUAACCCCUCGGCAUCCUUAAGGCGUCGAUCUUCUUUGAAUACGGCUUUGAGUACAACCCGGAGGUAUUUGAGCUCCCUUCGUACUGUGCCUUGAUGGUGUUGGUGAUCAUCUUUUGCAGCUGCUGGAUAGAAAGAGAUCCCAUGAGUGCCGCUGCUUGGUCUGGCUCGGGCUUCCCAUUGAUUUUCUUCACCGGGGGUUCUUCGUCUCCGCCAGCUCCUCCCUUUAGUGGAUCAUCCUCUGGGUCGGGUUUAUCGCCGUCUUGUGCCUCCAAUCGGUUGACUAGUGCUGCAAUUUGCAAGUCUUUUUCUUCCACAAUUCGGGUUAGCCUUGCGAUUGCUUCAUUCAUUUGAGCCAGCUGCUCAUCGAUUGAAGUUGCUCCAAUGGUCAUGACUUGCAUGGCUGAACUGUCGCUUGAACCGGCAUCGGAGAGCAUGGAUUCGGAGUAUUUCCUUGGGCUUUUCCCCCUUGGUGCCCUUAGUGAGGCUAAGGUGAUCAAAGGCUCGUGCCUUGGGUGCUUUUGUUCCCUUGGCAGAGUUGAUGCAGAGGUGAAAGAGGCGGCAGAAGUAGCUCUUGCUAUGCUUCGAGUCGUGAUGCCCAAAGUGACACCAGUUGCGACGAGGACGCUUUUGUUCUUUGCGCCGGUUGCGGGAACAGUUUGAGCCUUCCUUGAUGCCAUUAAUUUUGGAAGCGCGCUUGAAUUUCUUGAACGGAGAAAGAGAGAUGAGAGGCAGAGAUUGUCCCACUGGGCGUGCCAAUUUGUGAACACGGAAAAUUCCUGAAACGAAAGAGACAAGAAACGACGCGCACAAACAAAUAUUAAGUAUUUGAUGAUUUUGGGUUACAAUCUCUCUCAAAUUUGAUCCUCUGAUUCGAUCUCCGUAAGGGUGUUGAUUGGUGGGUGUUUCGUUGAUCCAAGGGCCGUCGAGGCUUAAUCUUGGAUGAACAGUUGGAAGUUUCUUCAAAGGGCCGUGGGCUUUGAUCUUUGAAGGUGGAUUUGAGCGGAUCUUCAAGGGCUUUUGGGCUUGAUCUUUGAAGAACAGUGAUGAACGGAUCUCCAAGGGCUUUUGGGCUUGAUCUUGAAAGAACAGUGAUGAACGGAUCUUCAAGGGCUUUUGGGCUUGAUCUUGAAGAACGGUUGGAUGUGUGGAUUUGUCGACGUUGUUGAUCCAAAGGGCCGUUGGGGCUUGAUCUUGGAUGAACGGAUGAUGAACGAUGGUGCUUUCUUCAAGGGCCGUCGGGGCUUGAUCUUGAAUUGGUGGAUGAUUGUUGAUCCAAAGGGCCGUUGGGGCUUGAUCUUGGAAGAACGAUGAACGAAGAACGAAGAACGCUUUCUUCAAGGGCCGUCGGGGCUUGAUCUUGAAGGUGGAUGAUUGUUGAUCCAAGGGCCGUCGAGGCUUGAUCUUGGAAGAACGAUGAACGAAGAACGAAGAACGCUUUCUUCAAGGGCCGUCGGGGCUUGAUCUUGAAGGUGGAUGAUUGUUGAUCCAAGGGCCGUCGAGGCUUGAUCUUGGAAGAACGAUGAACGAAGAACGAAGAACACUUUCUUGAUUCUUCGGGAACCUGGAUGCUUGAGAGCUUCGGAGUUUCAGAGCUUCAGAGCUUCAGAGCUUCAAGGUGUAAUAUCAAUUGGUUCCCAAAUGAAUGAAAUUGGGCUUGUAUUUAUAGAAUUUUCCAAGGCCUAAUUUUGAAUAUAAUAUUCCAGAUGAAAUAAGUCGUUUCUGCCAGGUAUUGACACGUGUCCUAUUUGAUGACUUUUCCAACUCAUUUCAAUUUUCGUUGAGUCACAUGCUACAUGUAAAAUUUAUGUAAUACAUGAGCGUUGACACUUUGAUUUAUCGGUCAACAUUUAUUUACCGAAAUUUCGAUGUCUACAAUAAAUUCCAAAGAAAAAUGUGUCAUAAAGUGUAGAAAAUUCCUGAAGGAUUCAAAUUGCUUGAAGUAAGCCCCGAAGGGUAAAGCAUAAAAUAUGUACUUAAUACCAAUGGAUGGAAUAAAUUGCCUUAGUGAGUACUAUCAUUGUGAUAUUGUUGCAACAUACUAAAAUCUCUUGCAAGAGUCCAUGACAUUAAAUUAGAAUUCCUGAAGAGUUGAUGAUAUUAAAUUGAGACUCCUGAAAAGUCAAGAAAGAUUAUAAAGUGUUGAGAGAAUUAUUGUCUCGAGCUGCAGAUCAAAAAAUAUACCAACACGAAUCUUAUCCAUGAUAUUUAUGAUAUUAAAAGAACCAUAUAAAUUGAAGAUUAUGAGUUGAAUACUCAAAUGAUGUAGACAUUAAGAAUAAUCAUUUAUCUUCGUGAGGGUAAAGAUAAAUUAAUAUUUGGUCCAGAAGUACCACAUCUUUAGUGAAGUAUUGCUUUAUUGUAUUUGGCACAAUACAUUGAAUGAAAUAAAGCUUAUCUAUUAAUAUCUCCAAGAAAUUACAGAUAUGUACAUACACAUGAGUUAAAACAAUCAAACAGGAUGAAGCCUUUACAAAGGUUGCUCAUGUGAAACCUUAGUACUCGGAAGUACCCUAGAAGGGGGAGGCACUGGAGAUUGAUCAUGUGGCACCCCAGUACUUAGCAAAACACCAGAAGGGGAAGACAUCAGUUGCUUUCGGAAUCUAGCAACGAACCUAUGGUGAUCACUUUGAAUCCAACUUUCGGAUUCCUGUAGCUAGUCGAACUUUCUUGUCAUGCUCGUAGAGUAAUUAUUCGCAAGCACGUGUAAUACUUUAUUCUCGUGCUUGAGCCCUCUGAUCUAUUGUUUAAGACUUGCCACCUCAACCAUCAAUUAUUCAACUUGACGAGUUUGAGCAAGUAGGCGUUGACCCAUAUUGGAUACAAAGCUCGCACAUUNUUGCUUUGAAGGUUGACAAGAGCUGCUUUGCCCCCUUUCCGAUUGGCGGACUUGUGGAGGAAGACAUAUGUUUUCUUGUGCAAUUUCUUAGUUUCUUAGAGUGACUUGAGUCCAUCCUUCUACUUUGCUUGUCUUGGAGGAUGCCCCCAACGGUUGAGGUGAAACCUUUGAGUCGGAAGAGCCAGAAGUGAAGGUGGUACAGUUUGACUCCCCCACAUCGUCAAGAUCUAGCUCGAUGAUUCCUUUCUGAGCCAGCUUCAUGAUGAGAUCUUUCAGCACGAAACACUUUUCUGUCGGAUGACUGAUGAAGCGGUGGAAUUUACAGUAUCUUGGACUGUCAGUACGAGUCAUCUCUUCCGGCCAUCUGCACUCAGGCAAACUGAUCACCUUCUUGUCCAAUAGGUCAUCUAGCAUGGCAACCACAUCAGAGUCGGGGAAUGGAUAAAGUCUUCUCCUCAAGUCUUCUCCUCAAGCUCCUUCAAAGUGCGUCUACGCGUCUCUUGAUCACGAAAAGCUUCGGUUUGAAUCGCCUUGCCUCGUGUGGAUAUUUUGACGGGAGAUGUGUUGACCGUCAUCGCUUCCUUGGUGGGUUUCCAUGCAGCCUUUUCCACCUUUGUCCCAAGAGCUUUGUCGUUCUUGUAGUCGGCGAUCGGUUCUUUCUUCCCAUGAUGGGCGAUGCUCAACUCCAUGUCAUGGGCGCGAGUGGCCAAUUCCUCGAAGGUCCGCGGUUUAAUGCCUUGAAGGAUGUAUUGCAAACCCCAUUGCAUGCCUUGGAUGCACAUCUCGAUUGAAGAGGUUUCCGAGAGCCUGUCUUUGCAGUCGAGGCUUAAAGUGCGCCAUCUGUUGAUGUAGUCAAUGACUGGUUCGUCCUUCCACUGCUUUGUGCUUGUUAGCUCUAGCAUGCUCACAGUGCGGCGAGUGCUGUAGAAGCGGUUGAGGAAUUCCCGCUCCAAUUGCUCCCAACUGUUGAUGGACUCAGGCUCUAGGUCCGUGUACCAUUCAAAGGCGUUUCCUUUUAGCGAGCGCACAAACUGCUUGGCGAGGUAGUCCCUUCGGUUCGGUCUGCGUUGUUGCAAGUUUCAACGAAGUAGGCAAUGUGCUGUUUUGGGUUUCCCUUUCCAUCAAAUUGCAUGAACUUUGGUGGUUGAUAACCCCUCGGCAUCCUUAAGGCGUCGAUCUUCUUUGAAUACGGCUUUGAGUACAACCCGGAGGUAUUUGAGCUCCCUUCGUACUGUGGCCUUGAUGGUGUUGGUGAUCAUCUUUUGCAGCUGCUGGAUAGAAAGAGAUCCCAUGAGUGCCGCUGCUUGGUCUGGCUCGGGCUUCCCAUUGAUUUUCUUCACCGGGGGUUCUUCGUCUCCGCCAGCUCCUCCCUUUAGUGGAUCAUCCUCUGGGUCGGGUUUAUCGCCGUCUUGUGCCUCCAAUCGGGUUGACUAGUGCUGCAAUUUGCAAGUCUUUUUUUCUUCCACAGUUCGGGUUAGCCUUGCGAUUGCUUCAUUCAUCAUUGAGCCAGAGCUGCUCAUCGAUUGAAGUUGCUCCAAUGGUCAUGACUUGCAUGGCUGAACUGUCGCUUGAACCGGCAUCGGAGAGCAUGGAUUCGGAGUAUUUCCUUGGGCUUUUCCCCCUUGGUGCCCUUAGUGAGGCUAAGGUGAUCAAAGGCUCGUGCCUUGGGUGCUUUUGUUCCCUUGGCAGAGUUGAUGCAGAGGUGAAAGAGGCGGCAGAAGUAGCUCUUGCUAUGCUUCGAGUCGUGAUGCCCAAAGUGACACCAGUUGCGACGAGGACGCUUUUGUUCUUUGCGCCGGUUGCGGGAACAGUUUGAGCCUUCCUUGAUGCCAUUAAUUUUGGAAGCGCGCUUGAAUUUCUUGAACGGAGAAAGAGAUGAGAGGCAGAGAUUGUCCCACUGGGCGUGCCAAUUUGUGAACACGGAAAAUUCCUGAAACGAAAGAGACAAGAAACGACGCGCACAAACAAAUAUUAAGUAUUUGAUGAUUUUGGGUUACAAUCUCUCUCAAAUUUGAUCCUCUGAUUCGAUCUCCGUAAGGUGUUGAUUGGUGGGUGUUUCGUUGAUCCAAGGGCCGUCGAGGCUUAAUCUUGGAUGAACAGUUGGAAGUUUCUUCAAAGGGCCGUGGGCUUGAUCUUUAAGGUGGAUUUGAGCGGAUCUUCAAGGGCUUUUGGGCUUGAUCUUUGAAGAACAGUGAUGAACGGAUCUCCAAGGGCUUUUGGGCUUGAUCUUGAAGAACAGUGAUGAACGGAUCUUCAAGGGCUUUUGGGCUUGAUCUUGAAGAACGGUUGGAUGUGUGGAUUUGUCGACGUUGUUGAUCCAAAGGGCCGUUGGGGCUUGAUCUUGGAUGAACGGAUGAUGAACGAUGGUGCUUUCUUCAAGGGCCGUCGGGGCUUGAUCUUGAAUUGGUGGAUGAUUGUUGAUCCAAGGGCCGUUAGGGCCGUUGGGCUUGAUCUUGGAAGAACGAUGAACGAAGAACGAAGAACGCUUUCUUCAAGGGCCGUCGGGGCUUGAUCUUGAAGGUGGAUGAUUGUUGAUCCAAGGGCCGUCGAGGCUUGAUCUUGGAAGAACGAUGAACGAAAGAACGAAGAACGCUUUCUUCAAGGGCCGUCGGGGCUUGAUCUUGAAGGUGGAUGAUUGUUGAUCCAAGGGGCCGUCGAGGCUUGAUCUUGGAAGAACGAUGAACGAAGAACGAAGAACACUUUCUUGAUUCUUCGGGAACCUGGAUGCUUGAGAGCUUCGGAGUUUCAGAGCUUCAGAGCUUCAGAGCUUCAAGGUGUAAUAUCAAUUGGUUCCCAAAUGAAU